CGGCAUGGGGGCAAAGGGGACAUGCAUAUAUUGUGGUACUUCGGUAUCUGUAUCUCUGGCAGCCGCAGCUCAGGUCUGUUAUUUUUUGCUCGUAUAUUUAUUUUUUGCAGGGCGCUCGGCGAGCGAGCGAGAGGUCAGAAGGUCUGUGAUCUUUUGCAAGUUCGCUUGAGCGCAAGAAAAAUUCUCCGAACUGCCAAGAAGAACAAAAGGCAGCCUGGCCCGUCCAAGUAUCUGUGAGAUACAUUUCUGCCGCUCAUAUGUACGUAUAUAUCUAUAUGUGUGUGAUAUAAGCAUCGUAUAUUUUGGCCAGGCAAAAAGUCAAAUGACAGCAAACUUUCGGUUAGAUAAAUAGGUAAAUAAAUAUAAGAUAUGUAUCUCUAUAUCCGAUGGAUAUGCGCAGACCGCAAAGUACUUCGGCGUAAAUUGGCAAAUUUUUCUAUAAACUAUUAAAAUCCAUAAAGAUGUACAAUAUUAUUGCAGGUCGAUCUUUCACGGGAACUGCACAGUUUGCUGAUACCUAAGCCGACUUGAUAUGUAUUUCAGUUCAGACACAAGUGUUAGCCCACUGUUGUUUUUGACACAUUUCAGAUUGCACUAUUUGCCCAACUACUUGUCAACCACUUUUUAUUGCACUUGUAAAGCAGCAAUAAAUCAUCGAUAUUCAGUUGUCUGGAACACACACUGUCAUUUAAGUUUCAAAGUAGAAAGCUGUUAUUAUUUGGUAUCCAAUGUGCGUAAUAAAUCUGUUCGGGUUCCUAAAUCACAUUCUUAUGAGCAGCAAAUGCACUGCGUCUCAUAACGAUAUGAAUAAUUUUGCCACAAAUAUAUAAGCGAGGCAAGCAUGCACAUAACGUUCGACAUCCACGCAGUACGUCAAUGAAUCAAAUAUUUGAAAAUGUGAAGAAAAAAGCUACAGUUGACAACUCGAGGAGAGAGAUACCACAGAGUGCCGCCGCCAGGUUGGCUGAUGAGGGGCAAGUCAAGGUGUGUUGAAGUAUUGCCCGUUUCUUCUGCCGCAUUUGUGUGGGACGAUCACCAAACUUUGCCAAAUCGCAGGCCCCUGAAAGAGAGGUAAAAUCCACGGCGACAGAGAUGGAUGCAGAUGCCGCUUUUGUGGCACAACAAAUAAAGGGAAAAGACCAAAAGACAGUUCGACAGUUCAAACCAAUUGACUCGUUUGCCAACACGCGUCUCCAGAAAAAGAGGCAACAACAACUAUCGCCCAGAACAUCCAACAUCCACAUAUUGUGACCACAGAAAAUUGGUAAAAGCUGCACUGCAUAUGGACAGAGACCAAAUAUCGAGGGGCAUAACAUGUUCUUAACCUGUCAGCAUAGCAGGCCAGUAAUCUGUCUUUUUGGGUUUAUUUUAUUAGCUAUUGGAGGGGCGAUGAAAACGGGAUCACCAAUAAGGCGAUGAUUGGAGAAAUCGAAAUCAAUUAGUUAGACAUGAUUUGUAGGAAAUUAAACUCUUUCAUUUUACGAAAUUAGCUGUUCUUUUGUUCGAGCUGAAUUAGCUUAUUUGAUGUCUUGAUUUUCAGUAAUGAAAGUCCUCGAAAGUCUUUUCUAGUUGAACGGAAAAAAUUGAAGUUUCCGGGAUCACAUACUCUAAGACGCUGUUUUUCAGAACCUCAAGUUACUUGCAAGUUACUUUGUGUCACUGCUGGUCAAAAAUGUCAUCAGUUUGGCAGUCCGUCAGUCAGCCAGCCAUUCAGUCCAUCAGUUCGUCAGUCAGUCACCUCCGAGCCAUAUAGAAGACACAAACAACACACGGGCGGCACACACUUCCAAACGCAGACACUUGCAAUUUCUGUUGCGUUUUUGUUGUUGGCUUUUUUGCGCGCAUCUAAAAAUAAAGCAACACUGAAAAUGCUAAUGCCAAGCGACCGACCGAACGACCGACCGAUCGACACCGACAUCGACCGAUGCCCACAGACCUCAAAAACGAACGCCCGUUUGCCCUCACACAGAUACACACACGUGCAGGCGCGCACACACAGAUACGCGAGCGAUCGGCGACACACACACAUGUGAACAUGUCCCCAAAAUGACAGCGACAUAUUGCGCGCCUCGAGUUCACUUCAUUCGAGAGUUUGAACCGAUCUGAAUAUAGUCAGCGUGCCAGGGUGUGAGUGCGAGUGGGGGUAUCUGGCGCGCAUACGUGGAUAUAGAUACAUGUAGACUAUAUACUCUAGAUGCGCGGCACACGCUGUUCGGUAUCUUGGCUAAGUCUGUCAAUUGCUAGGAUAUACAGUGCGUACCGGCAACUUAAUGCAACUGGAAGAUUCACCGAUCCCGGAUGUAGAAUUAAGUGAAAAUCUUACGGUUCCCGAUGCAAUGCACAUCUAAUUAUAAAAUUAUUCUGAAGCUAUUCAUUAUUUUUAACACUUUUCUUUAGUUCCUGUUACGUCAGUGUAUUCCAACUAUUGAGUAUUAAUUGUAGUUUAUGUCCUGGACAAAUGGCCAUGGCCCGCACUGUUGUGGCAUACAAAAAGUAUUUAUCUUUUAGUCAUUUUCAUUUUUUGUGAACCAAAACUACAACUCAACUCUGUCAGACGACAGACUGACUGCAGAGUCGUUGGCUUUGGGUUUGGUCUUUGGGCUUUGGGUCUUGGGUAGAGGGACCUGAGACUGAGACCUGGGAUCUGAGACCAAGUCAGGCCAAGUCAACUCGAUGUCGAGGCGUGUGGGCAGCAUCAGCGUGUUGGGUUCACUUCAGCUUGAUAUUUUUUAUUUUAUUUUUGCAUGUUUUCUUCAUUUUUUGCACCAGUUUAGGCGAAGCCUGUCGUCGGCGAUGUGAGGCAAAAACAUGGCAGCUACAAAAUCCAGCGACGAACGAAAACUUUUAAGGCGAAAAGUGCUGGCCGAGACGAGGCAAAGAUCGUUGUGGGGCAACUCAAAGGGGUCAGGUCGGUCGGUUGGUCGGUCGUGUGGCAACUGUACACGAAAAGUGACACCUGCAAAAGGCCGAGUGAAUGGAGGUCAAAUAUAAACGAGGCGGAAGCGGACAACCAAAGUGUUUAUCCUCAUGACUGACAUGUUGGUUGCGUGCUGCAAGAUCGCAAAGUGAAGAAGUGAGGGCUCCAAAAAUAUCCUUUCAUACUUGCACUGACAUACUGUUUGUCACAGCAAAUGGGAUACGUGGUUACUUGAAGAUACUUUUUAUUGAACUUAUCUUAUUUAUAUCAGUUUUCUACCAAAAGAGGAUGACAUUUCAUAAGUCUCUUUGCUUUUUAAGUAAUUAAGUUUAGCAGUACGACCACAUCACCAAGAAUUUUUACAUUCUAAAGCCCCAUUGACCCCCAUCACAGCAAACUGUAUAUUUAAGUAGUUAAACAAGAUCACACCUCACCCACUUAUCGUGAGCCAUCUUUAAACUCUUGACCUACCAAAGCAAACACGCUCAGAUUAACGAAAUCCAAUCCUCAACCUAAACAAAGCAAAACCUGUAAGCCAUUAAGAGAUAAAAGAGCCUAGGUAUAAAUAUUUAUAUUAAAAAUCAAAACAAAAUCGAAAAUUAUAGAAACAUAUGCAGAGAUUAACACGUUUCUGCUAUAAAACAUAAAAGAAGCGAAGAAACCGCAACAACAGAUUUGUAAUAAAAUUAAGGAAAAAGUAAAUGAACAUUAAACGGUUUAGGUUUGGCUCGGCGAUUGGUCAAUCCGAAUGAUAAUUUAUGCGACUGUAACCAAAAAGUUUAGCUCUAUAAAAAAAAUGAUAACAACCAUACGACGUCAGACAAAAUUGGAGUAGACUAGAUUGAGGCAAAAGCACGCACAGCCCUGAUGGAAUAUGAUGUUCGCCUAGGAAAGAGCUCAGUUUUCUAUGGAAUAAAACAUGAAGAUCGCGACUUUAAGUCAGAAUUUGUGGAAAUUCUCGAAAAUCUUUCUGACCUUUUGGGAAGUCUCAACUUCCGUUUAGACGACGAUUUGUGAAUGGAAUUUGCCAGCUCAUUGAAAAGUGUAUCGCAAAAAACACGCCGAGGGUGAGAACUGGCUCAGGUAUCAUCAUAUAAUCAGGCACAUAAUUGCUUGCCUCACAAACUUCUCUUGUCACUUGAUAGAGGACCAGCAAAAAAAGAAAAAUAAAUAAAAAAAAUAUAUGAAACGAAAAGAAAAUCCCCAAGCUGGCAUCAUAAAAUAUAUACAAAAAUAAAUGCUAAUAAUAACAAAUUCAACAGUUUCCUGCGGCUCACAUCACAAUUUCGCCGUUUCAUGUCAUUAGCGGACUCCAAAGUAAAUAUUUGACGAAGACAAACGAACCUCUGCCGCACAGCAACUUCAUCAUCGCCUCGUAAUAACCCGUUCUCCCCGAAAUAAGCAGGAAAAAUAAUAAUAAUAAUAAUAAAAAUAAUGAAGAGCAAGUGACGAUCACUUUGAGGGCAUUGAGGGCGUUUUUAACUUUUAUUUUUCUUUGCUAAAGAUCGGUUCCCCCUGCUUUCGUUGUGAGAUGAGUUUGGGAGUUGAGUAAACCGCUCGGCUGCGGCUUUUUUUUUUUAAUUUUUUUCUUUUUUUGCUGACUGUGACAUUUUUGUCACAGCAAUCCUCGACCGCCGCGAUCUCAGCAAUCCUCGACGAGCAGGGGUAACUUGAAGUUAACUUUAUGUACUCGCCAUUAUAUUCCGUCAGCGAAUUUGCGCUGCGAAGAUCAUAAGACCAUAAUUGAACUGAUUGGCAGUGUUUUGUUAUGGUCCCCGAUUUUUUGUACCUUUUUCGGAUUUUUUUUCUGCUCCGGGGGGACUUGUAGUAGGUUUUCAUAAUUUGAUCUUUUGACAGAUCAAAGAUCGCUGCUUGAACCUAAGGUUAAUCACUGACCGCAGCACCGCACAAUAUGGCUGUUAUUUCUGCUUGGAUUCGCUAUUUGUUUGAUUCGAGCCGCCGCAUGAAAUCAUAUUUCUCCAUAAAGCAUCCACUUUGUCUGUCCCAGCUUCCACAGAUGAUCGAGUGCCGAUCUGGGCGCCCACACUCGAUCGCAUGUGUGCCUGACUAUACAAAUAUAUAUAUAUAUAUAUGAACAUAUAUAUAUCUUUGCGGCUGUGUUAAUGAUCGCAAAUGUCGUGAUUUUAGUCGAGUGGGUUGAGUGAGGUGCUGAACUUUAAUUAAACGCGCACCGAAAUGUGUUUUUUCACAUUCUGAACUUUGAGACAUCAACUGCAUCCACCGGGCAAAAUGCAUUGCAAUCGCUGCGAGAUCGGUUAAUCAACAGAUGGCCUGGCCUUAUGCCUCCUAUGGGGGUUGUGAGACUAAGCGAACCCAAGGAGAACCUUCAAAAAUUGACACACAUCAGAGAUGGAAAAGUAUUUUGAUUUAUUUGAGACAAAUGUCAUAUUUAUCGGUUAUAAUUAAGAAGAGAUGUCUUGCAUUUUAUCAGAUUGAACUCUCAAAUUUCUUUAAUUAACUAAUAAUAAUUAAUGUUAAUAAUAAAUGUUUUGAGUUCAGCACUAUUCGGAUGAGCAUAAAAAAUCGAUUCUAAAAGUAAUUAAACCAAAAGCAUGCGUACUUAAAAACCUCUCAAUUAAAAACUUAUAGUCUUACUGAUUUAAUUGAAUGAGCCACCUCUAAACUAAUUGAGAACUUGACUAAAAAGGUCUCUAAAGAAAACAUGCCACAAUGAGGUAGACUAACAAAGAAAUCAAUGAUCCAUAGGCCAAGAACAGAUGGUCAUUACCAGCAAUAAACUUUAACUGAAUCACAAAGGUUUGGAACCACUCAAAAAUCGAAGAGGUAAAAUCGAAAUGCGAAUCGGGAAAAAAGAAAAAGUGGAAGCGCCUAAAAAAAUAAUGUAAUCAAAAAUGCGAAAUGCAAAUGAAAUGCAGGUGGUGUGCACACUUAAACACACACCUGCACUUACGACGACAACUGUAACAAUAACGGCCAUCGGAGGUAUGUACAACAACAUAAGGUGACCAGAGAGUGAAGUGGGUGGCAUUUGGAGUGGGCGAGGGGGCGACGAAGGUGAGUGCGCUUAUCAGGCCCAAAAGCAAACGCAAAAAUGAAAAAAUAAAAAACAGCAACAACCACAAAUGCCGGAUAUGAGCGCCACUUAAAAACUGUAAAAACAAUGAACAAGCAACAAGUGUUCGAGACGACUACACCGAAAAUAAAGCAUCUACACUUUUAGAUUCGACGUUUAAAUUGAUAUUUGCAUUUUAUAACCCUUGAUAUGUGAACAAUUAGCACUGAUAAAAUACAGCAUUGAUAAGGGGUUUAAUUUUAUUAUUUAUUUUGGAAUUCGAUUGCAAUACUUUUACGUUAUUUUUAGUUUUAUAGUUUAAUUUUUCUCUUUCAUUCUGUGUGACCGUUCAGUUCGAUUCCUUGCAGAAGCUAAACAAAUGGAUCAUCUAUUUGUUCCGCGUGCAGACAGACAGACAGAUGAGUACAAACAGACCAGCAAAGAGAGCGUUAAAUUUGCACUUACCGUUCCGCAGAGAGCCACAAUCGGACAACAACGAAGUCUGCAAGAGGGAACAGGUAGCCGAUUCACAGACAGGCCAAUUAAUGAACGCGACAAAAUGGCAAAUAAUACUUUGGAAAAUGUCCACGGCAUGACCGUUAAAGUCAACUAAACAAAAGUACGAGCUGGCCUGACACACAAGCUUUACAUUCCUUAUUAAGUUGUUUAGAAUAGCUUAUGAUUUAUAUAAAAGUUUGCAAUGGCAAUUGCGUUUUUUACAGUUCUUC
rnacentral:sRNA from 1 species